ACCGUAAGGAGCGGUGGACUGAUUACGAGUGAGAAUGUUGGCAUUAGUAGCGAGAUGUAGGUGAGAAUCCUACAGGCCGAAUAUCUAAGGUUUCCUCAGGAAGGCCCGUCCGCUGAGGGUUAGUCGGGACCUAAGCCGAGGCCGAAAGGCGUAGGCGAUGGACAAUCGGUUGAUAUUCCGAUACCACUACCAUCGUUAUUAUCGAGGGUGUGACGGAGAAGGAUAGUGUGUGCUAGCGAUUGGAAAUGCUAGUCUAAGCGUUUAGGGAGUUACAGUAGGCAAAUCCGCUGUAACAAUUCUGAGGCGUGAUGGGGAAGGCCAUAUAGGCCGAAGUACAUGAUUCCAUGCUUCCAAGAAAAGCAUCUAGAGAGAGAAGUAGUGCCCGUACCGCAAACCGACACAGGUAGAUGAGGAGAGAAUCCUAAGGCCGGCGGAAGAAUUGCAGUUAAGGAACUAGGCAAAUUGACCCCGUAAGUUCGCGAGAAGGGGUGCCUGCGAGAGCAGGCCGCAGAGAAUAGGCCCAAGCAACUGUUUAGCAAAAACACAGGUCUCUGCUAAAGCGUAAGCUGAUGUAUAGGGGCUGACGCCUGCCCGGUGCUGGAAGGUUAAGGGGAACACUUAGCGCAAGCGAAGGUGUGAACUUAAGCCCCAGUAAACGGCGGCCGUAACGAUAACGGUCCUAAGGUAGCGAAAUUCCUUGUCAGGUAAGUUCUGACCCGCACGAAUGGCGUAAUGACUUGGGCACUGUCUCAACUGCAAAUCCGGCGAAGUUGUAGUGCGAGUGAAGAUGCUCGCUACCCGCGAUUGGACGGAAAGACCCCGUAGAGCUUUACUGUAGCUUAGCAUUGAAUUCCGGUAUUGUCUGUACAGGAUAGGUGGGAGACUGGGAAACUAGGGCGUCAGCCUUAGUGGAGUCAACCUUGGGAUACCACCCUGACAGUACUGGGGUUCUAACAGGACGCCAUGAAUCUGGUGACUGGACAUUGUUAGGUGGGCAGUUUGACUGGGGCGGUCGCCUCCUAAAAAGUAACGGAGGCGCCCAAAGGUUCCCUCAGAACGGUCGGAAAUCGUUCGUAGAGUGCAAAGGCAGAAGGGAGCCUGACUACGAGACAUACAAGUCGAGCAGGGACGAAAGUCGGGCUUAGUGAUCCGGUGGUACCUCGUGGGAGGGCCAUCGUUCAACGGAUAAAAGCUACCUCGCGGAUAACAGGCUGAUCUCCCCCAAGAGUCCACAUCGACGGGGAGGUUUGGCACCUCGAUGUCGGCUCGUCGCAUCCUGGGGCUGUAGUAGGUCCCAAGGGUUGGGCUGUUCGCCCAUUAAAGCGGCACGCGAGCUGGGUUCAGAACGUCGUGAGACAGUUCGGUCCCUAUCCGUCGCGGGCGUAGGAAAUUUGAGAGGAGCUGUCCUUAGUACGAGAGGACCGGGAUGGACUGACCUCUGGUGCACCAGUUGUUCCGCCAGGAGCAUGGCUGGGUAGCUAAGUCGGGAAGGGAUAAACGCUGAAAGCAUCUAAGCGUGAAGCCUCCCUCAAGAUGAGAUUUCCCAUAGCAUAAGCUAGUAAGACCCCUUGAAGAACACAAGGUUGAUAGGUCAGAGGUGUAAGUGCGGUAACGUAUUUAGCUGACUGAUACUAAUAGGUCGAGGGCUUGAUC
rnacentral:rRNA from 1 species